UGAGAUCAGUUGUUACUUUAUAUACACAUGCAAGUCUCCGCACUCCUGUGAAAACGCCCUUAAGUCCCUAUAAUGGAUAAGGAGCUGGUAUCAGGCACAAAAAUUAGCCCAAAACACCUAGCCUUGCCACACCCCCACGGGAACUCAGCAGUGAUUAACAUUGAAAAUAAGCGCCAGCCUGAAUCAGUUAAAGUUUAGAGAGCCGGCAAAUCUGGUGCCAGCCGCCGCGGUUACACCACGUGGCUCAAACUGACCUCUUCCGGCGUAAAGCGUGAUUAAAGUUAGCCUUUUACUGCAAUUAAACUAGAACUAAGCUGUGACACGCUUAUUCCCAAGAAAACCACUAACGAAAGUCAUUGCAACCCUAAUAACU
rnacentral:rRNA from 1 species